rnacentral:rRNA from 1 species
AGCGAACGCUAGCGGCGGGCCUAACACAUGCAAGUCGAGCGGAGGGAGCAAUCCUUCAGCGGCGGACGGGUGAGUAACGCGUAGGUAAUGUACCUUCUGGUGGGGAAUAACCGUGGGAAACCAUGGCUAAUACCGCAUAUCGUCCUUACGGAUGAAAGCCUUCGGGCGCCAGAAGAGCAGCCUGCGUCCCAUUAUUUAGUCCUAGUUGGUGAGGUAACGGCUCACCAAGGGUACGAUGGGUAGCUGGUCUGAGAGGAUGAUCAGCCACACUGGAACUGAGACACGGUCCAGACUCCUACGGGAGGCAGCAGUGGGGAAUAUUGCGCAAUGGGCGAAAGCCUGACGCAGCCACGCCGCGUGAGUGAUGAAGGCCUUCGGGUUG